rnacentral:lncRNA from 1 species
GACACCCCCCCCCCAGGCGCGCGGCCCGCCCCUGCAGCAGACGCGUUCCCGCGGCCGAAAAACCCAGGUGCGCGGCCGCCCGAGUCGGCGCUAGUGGCUACUGCCGCUGUCUGCAGCUGGACCAGACUCCUAUCGCGACCCAGCUCCGCGCUCGCGCAGAUGGAUCUUCUUCGGGCGUGAGUGCUUUGGCCCAAACCCACCAGCACCACCCCAGGCAUCCGAAGAAAUCAACAGGCAGCUUGCACCGCUUUGCUUUCUCUUCUUUCUCCCAAACCCUCCUCGCAGGGUGUUGAGGAAAGGAAGAGUGACAAGUCCCCAGGCCUUUCCCACUGUAGGCCUUUCCCACUGUAGGCCUUUCCCACGGGAGCAUGUGAGGAGCGCACACCGUGACUCCUCACAGUCAAGGCCAAGUCACCACUGCAGAUGGCCGCCCCUCCUGUGGAAAACCCAGAAGCAGAGCUGAGAGGCUUUGAACCCCAGUGAGUUCUCCCCCUGGUCUACAGGCCUCUUCCCCUACGUGCUCUUCUGGUCUUUACUUCCCAGCAUAAGAAUUAUUUCCUCCAAUUUCCAUUCCUGUAGCUGAAGACCCUCCUGCUAAAAACCCUCUUCUAGCACUUGUUUUCAGACUGUACUUAAGGAUUCAGUAUACUGAGUAUACUUUUUAUACUCUUUUUAUUUAUGUUACAUUAAUAAAAUAUUAAAUUUCAUUUUUAAAAAAAU